AGUAGACCUCACAGUGAAAUGCUGAAUACAACAGGUGUAGUAGACCUUGCAGUGAAAUGCUGAAUACAACAGGUGUAGUAGACCUUACAGUGAAAUGCUGAAUACAACAGGUGUAGUAGACCUUGCAGUGAAAUGCUGAAUACAACAGGUGUAGUAGACCUUACAGUGAAAUGCUGAAUACAACAGGUGUAGUAGACCUCACAGUGAAAUGCUGAAUACAACAGGUGUAGGUAGACCUCAC